GUUUAGGUUCGAGCAACCGCAAACAAAACCAAAGCUGAGAUUUGACAUAGCACAAGAUUUAUUUCAUGGGCAAAGAAUGAAGAAGCGGGAACUAAGUUCACAGAUCAACUUCUCACCCACCUGGCAAGAGAUAUUUAAAGAGUAAAGAUGGAAGGAUGAGGAUUGUGAAGCUAAUGAUGGGGAGAGCCUCCAGAAGGAACCAGCCCUGCCAACACCUGGACUUUUGCCCACUGAGACUGGUUUUGAACUUCUAAUCUCCAAAACUAUGGAAGAAAAGAUUCAUGACCAAAAAUGCAGGUGACCUCUAGAAACUGGAAAAGAGCAAGAAAUGGGUUCUCUCCUAGCAGCUCCAGAAAGGAAUACAACCCUGUCUUCAUCUUGACUUUUAGUUCAAUGAGACCUGUGU
ensembl:lncRNA